CUGGGGACUGCUCGUGACAAGACUGAGGCUCGGCCCAGGGAAGGCCCUGCCAGGCUUCCCACAGCCCCAGUCACUGACCUUACCAUUUACAACAGCUGUAGCCCCAACAGGAGACUAGAAGGACUCUCAGAGGGGAUCAGUUUGAGGGGCCAAGGCCUCCAGGGCUCCCAUUCAUUUAGUGAGCUACUCACUGAGCAUGUAGCGUGCGCCGGGAGCCUAGGCUGCUCACCUGGUCUCCACAGCCAGCCUGUGAGGGCACAGCUCCUGGUGUCUUGUUCUCCCCUCUGACAAUACCCUGUCCUUCAGUCAUCGGAGUUGUUGGUGUGCCUGGUACCACUGUGUACCCAGCACCAGCGGCAGCUGUCACCUUGGGAGUCUUCGCACAACCCAUGUUCCAGGUCAGGAAAGUAGAGCUCCAAGACAAGCAGAGACCUGGCCAACACUCUGCUCAUUUCCCCGAUUCCAUUCUGCUUGAGUUUUUCUUUAAGCCCACAGCAAACCUCAGCUUUCCCUUGCCUGAAGUUGAAACUGUCACCAGCAGACAUGGAUGUGACUCUACAGGAUGCCAGCUCCUGAUGGGGAGGAGACUGCUGAGGGAACAGACAUGGGAGAAGCGUUUGUUACUACCCCUUGCCCUGCUGCUCUCCUUUACCCUCUGGGAAGUGGGUAUAGGUUCCUCAGGGCUCAGGCUAAAGGAUGAAUAAAUACAGCCCAUAUUCUGCUCAGCAAACACACACAUGCAGAGUGCCGACUUCUGGAGCAUUUCAAACCCCGAAGAAAAAGCCCCCAGUGACACAGGACACUU
rnacentral:lncRNA from 1 species